rnacentral:rRNA from 1 species
AUUUAGAGGAAGGAGAAGUCGUAACAAGGUUUCCGUAGGUGAACCUGCGGAAGGAUCAUUGUCGAAACCUGCAUAGCAGAUCGACCCGCGAACGUGUUAAUCUACUCUCUAGUGCCCGGGCGCUCGCGAAGCUUCGGCCGAGCGUCGUCCGUGGCCAACCAACGAACCCCGGCGUGAAUCGCGCCAAGGAAAUCUAAUCGAAGAGCACUUCGGGAGCCGCUCCGGUAACGGUGUCGGCGACCGACUGUGCCUCGUCUAUUGAGAAUCUAAAACGACUCUCGGCAACGGAUAUCUCGGCUCUCGCAUCGAUGAAGAACGUAGCGAAAUGCGAUACUUGGUGUGAAUUGCAGAAUCCCGUGAACCAUCGAGUCUUUGAACGCAAGUUGCGCCCCAAGCCAUUAGGCCGAGGGCACGUCUGCCUGGGUGUCACGCAUCGUCGCCCCCCUCACCGUCGAGCCAACAAGGCUCGAGGUCGUGUCGGGCGGAAAAUGGCCUCCCGUGUUCUCCCGCGCGCGGUUGGUCCAAAUAGCCAGUCCCCGGCGUAGUUUGUCGCCGCAACGAUCGGUGGUAUUAACUUGCCUCGGAGCCCGUCGCGCGCGUCCUGUCCGGGUGAUACUGCUCAUCGAGACCCUAUGGCGUCGACACGUCGACGCUCGCAUUGCGACCCCAGGUCAGGCGGGAUUACCCGCUGAGUUUA